AUUGAACGCUGGCGGCAGGCCUAACACAUGCAAGUCGAGCGGAUGAAGGGAGCUUGCUCCUGGAUUCAGCGGCGGACGGGUGAGUAAUGCCUAGGAAUCUACCUGAUAGUGAGGGAUAACGUCCGUAAACGGGCGCUAAUACCGCAUACGUCCUGAGGGAGAAAGUGGGGGAUCUUCGGACCUCACGCUAUCAGAUGAGCCUAGGUCGGAUUAGCUAGUUGGUGGGGUAAAGGCCUACCAAGGCGACGAUCCGUAACUAGUCUGAGAGGAUGAUCAGUCACACUAGAACUGAGACACGGUCCAGACUCCUACGGGAGGCAGCAGUGGGGAAUAUUGGACAAUGGGCGAAAGCCUGAUCCAGCCAUGCCGCGUGUGUGAAGAAGGUCUUCGGAUUGUAAAGCACUUUAAGUUGGGAGGAAGGGCAGUAAGUUAAUACCUUGAUGUUUUGACGUUACCAACAGAAUAAGCACCGGCUAACUUCGUG
rnacentral:rRNA from 1 species